rnacentral:SRP_RNA from 18 species
GGAGCAAUAAGUUUCUUACGAAGCGUGUCAGGACCUGACGGUAGCAGCACUAAGUAUGGAGCUUAUGUGCUCUUUUU